rnacentral:rRNA from 1 species
GACGAACGCUGGCGGCAGGCAUAAUACAUGCAAGUUGAACGGGAUUAGUUUAGCAAUAGACUAUGAGAGUGGCGCACGGGUGCGUAACACGUAUGCAACCUGCCCUUGACUGGAGAAUAGCCUCUCGAAAGAGAGAUUAAUGUUCCAUAACAUAAUGAUAGAGCAUUCUAUUAUUAUCAAAGCUCCGGCGGUCAAGGAUGGGCAUGCGGUUGAUUAGCUAGUUGGUGAGGUAACGGCUCACCAAGGCGACGAUCAAUAGGGGGUCUGAGAGGAUGUCCCCCCACACUGGUACUGAGACACGGACCAGACUCCUACGGGAGGCAGCAGUAGGGAAUAUUGGUCAAUGGAGGCAACUCUGAACCAGCCAUGCCGCGUGCAGGAAGACUGCCCUAUGGGUUGUAAACUGCUUUUGUACGGGAAGAAACCUUCGGAUGCGUUCGAAGUUGACGGUACCGUGAGAAUAAGGAUCGGCUAACUUCGUGCCAGCCGCCGCCGUAA